rnacentral:rRNA from 1 species
CCCAGACUCCUACGGGAGGCAGCAGUGGGGGAUAUUGCACAAUGGGGGGAACCCUGAUGCAGCGACGCCGCGUGGGUGAAGGAGCGUUUCGGCGCGUAAAGCCCUAUCGGCAGGGAAGAAGGAGGACGGUACCUGACUAAGAAGCCCCGGCUAACUACGUGCCAGCAGCCGCGGUAAUACGUAGGGGGCAAGCGUUAUCCGGAUUUACUGGGUGUAAAGGGGGCGCAGACGGCAGCGCAAGCCAGGAGUGAAAGCCCGGGGCCCAACCCCGGGACUGCUCUUGGAACUGCGCGGCUGGAGUGCAGGAGGGGCAGGCUGAAUUCCUGGUGUAGCGGUGAAAUGCGUAGAUAUCAGGAGGAACACCGGUGGCGAAGGCGGCCUGCUGGACUGCGACUGACGUUGAGGCCCGAAAGCGUGGGGAGCAAACAGGAUUAGAUACCCCCGUA